AUGGACAUGAGGGUUCCUCCUCAGCUCCUGGGGCUCCUGCUGCUCUGGCUCCCAGGUGCCAGACGUGCCAUCCAGAUGACCCAGUCUCCAUCCUCCCUGUCUGUAUCUGUAGGAGACGGAGUCACCAUCACUUGCCAGGCAAGUCAGGGCAUUAGCAAUGAGUUAGCCUGGUAUCAGCAGAAACCAGGGAAUUCUCCUAAGCUCCUUAUAUAUAAAGCAUCCAAUUUGCAGACAGGGUUAGCAUCUCAGUUCAUUGGUGGUGGAUCUGGAAUAGAUUUCACUCUCACCAUAAACAACAUUCAGCCUGACGAGGUUGCAACUUAUUACUGCCAACAGGAGAAUAGUUCCCCUUGCCCAGUGUUACAAGUCAUAAACUAA